AUUGAACGCUGGCGGAAUGCUUUACACAUGCAAGUCGAACGGCAGCACGGACUUCGGCCUGGUGGCGAGUGGCGAACGGGUGAGUAAUGUAUCGGAACGUGCCCAGUCGUGGGGGAUAACGUAGUGAAAAUUACGCUAAUACCGCAUACGAUCUAUGGAUGAAAGCGGGGGACCGUAAGGCCUCGCGCGAGUGGAGCGGCCGAUAUCAGAUUAGGUAGUUGGUGGGGUAAAGGCUCACCAAGCCGACGAUCUGUAGCUGGUCUGAGAGGACGACCAGCCACACUGGAACUGAGACACGGUCCAGACUCCUACGGGUGGCAGCAGUGGGGAAUUUUGGACAAUGGGCGCAAGCCUGAUCCAGCCAUUCCGCGUGCAGGAUGAAGGCCCUCGGGUUGUAAACUGCUUUUGUACGGAACGAAAAGGCUCUGGUUAAUACCUGGGGCUCAUGACGGUACCGUAAGAAUAAGCACCGGCUAACUACGUGCCAGCAGCCGCGGUAA
rnacentral:rRNA from 1 species